rnacentral:tRNA from 1 species
CGCGGGGUGGAGCAGUUGGCAGCUCGUCGGGCUCAUAACCCGAAGGUCGUAGGUUCAAAUCCUACCCCCGCAACCA